AGUGAACGCUGGCGGCGUGCUUAACACAUGCAAGUCGAACGAGAACGGAUUAUAGCUUGCUAUAAUUGUCAGCUAAGUGGCGCACGGGUGAGUAAUGUAUAGAUAACCUGCCCUCUAGAAAGGAAUAACAGUUGGAAACGACUGCUAAUGCCCUAUAUGCCUUUAAUACAUAAGUAUGCAAGGGAAACGCUUUAGUGCUAGAGGAUGGGUCUGUAUGGUAUCAGCUUGUUGUGGAGGUAAUGGCUCACCAAGGCUAUGACGCCUAACUGGUUUGAGAAGAUGAUCGGGCACACUGCAACUGAGACACGGUCCAGACUCCUACGGGAGGCAGCAGUGGGGAAUAUUGCACGAUGGAUGAAAGUCUGAUGCAGCAUCGCCGCGUGGAGGAUGACACAUUUCGGUGCGUAAACUCCUUUUAUAUAGGAAGAUAAUGACGGUACUAUAUGAAUAAGCACCGGCUAACUCCGUGCCAGCCGCCGCCGUAA
rnacentral:rRNA from 1 species